GACGAACCGUGCGAACGUUGUUCGGAAUCACUGGGCUUAAAGGGCGCGUAGGCGGGCUGUCAAGUCUGGGGUGAAAUCCCACGGCUCACCCGUGGAACGGCUGGGUAUACUGGGGGUCUUGAGCCACCUAGGGGCGAGUGGAACAAAUGGUGGAGCGGUGAAAUGCGUAGAUAUCAUUUGGAACGCCAAUGGUGAAAACAACUCGCUGGGGGUGUGCUGACGCUGAGACACGAAAGCCAGGGGAGCGAACGGG
rnacentral:rRNA from 1 species